GCCGCCACUAGGGGAAGGGACUCAUAAUCCCUUGGUCCCAGGUUCGAAUCCUGGCGGGCCCA
rnacentral:tRNA from 1 species